GCCAGGUGUGGUAGCUCACACCUGUAAUCCCAGUAUCUCUGAAGGCUGAGACCGGAGGAUCACAAGUUCAAAGCUCAGCUUCAGCAACAUAGUGAGGCCUUAAGAAAUUCAAGGAGACCCUGUCUCUA
rnacentral:sRNA from 1 species